rnacentral:misc_RNA from 1 species
UAUAUCCGGUCAACAAUUUCAUUAAUCCUCCUUUCCAACUUGCUAAUUUCUGCGUUUCUCUUAUCAAUCCCAUUUUUUAACUUCUGAAGUUCAGGACUUAUUCGAUCAAUUUCUUCUUUUAUAAUUUCUCUCUCUUGCCUCAAGCUUGCAAGUUUGUCUUCAAUACUUCGCUUCUCAAUCUCCGCAUACUGAAUCUUUUUCUCAAGUCCACUAAUCCUCCCAGAUGCUUCAGACUCCUUUAGUUGCAUCUCCCUGAUUGAUCCAAGUUCAUCUAGCUCUGCUUCAUACUGCUCUUUCUUUUUCUUAAGCCCUUCAAUCUUUUUAUCGUCCCAUUUGUUUGACCUUGCUUCCAUGCCACCACUAAUACCCCCAGUCAUUGUGCCAGAUUUCGUAAGCAGAAUACCAUCAACAGUAACAACUUUAUGUCUUUCUCCACUCCAGCUUAGAGCCUUGGCUUCAUCAAGAUUGUCACAAACUAGCGUAUUCCCCACAGCAAAUAUAAUUGCCUUCUCCAAUGUCGAAUCAAAA